AAGUCGUAACAAGGUUUCCGUAGGUGAACCUGCGGAAGGAUCAUUAACGAAUCAAACAAGUUCAUCUUGUUCUGAUCCUGUGCACCUUAUGUAGUCCCAAAGCCUUCACGGGCGGCGGUUGACUACGUUUACCUCACACCCUAAAGUAUGUUAACGAAUGUAAUCAUGGUCUUGACAGACCCUAAAAAGUUAAUACAA
rnacentral:misc_RNA from 1 species